rfam:Daphnia pulex DAPPTscaffold_27_Cont1637, whole genome shotgun sequence.
GCAGAUGUGGCCGAGUGGUUAAGGCGACUGACUCGAAACCAGCACCUAUCUUAGAGCGUAAGUUCGAAUCCUACUAUUUGCA